UGGCUGAAAGUCAAGGAGGAAAAACAGAGCAAAACUUAGCCUUAGGUUUUGCAUAUAAAACAUCCCCAAAGACUCAGCUGUGGAAGUCUUGAUUCCCCAGAUGGUGGACUAUUGAGAGGUGACAGGAUCUUGAGCUUUUCUUUAAGUGCUUCUCACUCUUUCGUGCUUUAUCUUUUGAGAACACUGCUUAGUUUUGUAGCCACCCCCUCCCCACUUUUUUCUUUUGAGACAGGGUGCGGUGGUUUGAAUAGGAAUGGGCUCCAUGGACUCAAGUGUGUGUUUGAACGCUUGGCCCAUAGGGAAUGGCACUAUUAGGAGGUGUGGCCUUGUUGGAGUAGGUGUGGUCUUAUUGGAGGAAGUAUGUCAUGGUGGGGGCAGGCUUUGAAGUCUCCUUUGCUUAAACUAUGCCUAGUGUGACACAUAGUCUCCUCCUGUUGCCUGUGGAUCAAGAUGUAGAACUGUCUUCUCCAGCACCAUGCCUGCCUGUGUGCCACCAUGCUUCCACCAUGUUGACAAUGGACUAAAAGCUCUGACACUAUAAGCCAGCUUCAAUUAAAUGCUCUCUUUUACAAGAGUUGUUGUUAUGGUGUCUCUUCACAGCAAUAAAACCCUAACUAAAACAGACACACCUCAUUAAACUAAGCAGGAUUCAUGGAAUGUAGUCAGGUUAACCUGGGCAGGGAUGGCUGUCAUUUAGUUGUACAGGAUACAGCAGAAUAAAAAAGCUAUGAUUUUAAAAGAAAGGAUUGAGCUACCUAAGAAAUGUUGAGCCAGACAACCAUUAUACUAAGGUCGAGUUAUCACCAGAGCAAGAACGUGCAACACUGAAUGCCCAGCCCCCACACUAAAAGGUAAUGAGCUUCGUAGUCCAGACAUCUGAACUGAUCCUUUCUUCCCUGUGAGUCUCUGUCAACAAUGUUUGUCUCUUCUCUUCUCUUCUCUUCUCUUCUCUUCUCUUCUCUUCUCUUCUCUUCUCUUCUCUUCUCUUCUCUUCUCUUCUCUUCUCUUCUCUCUUCUCCUUUCUUUUCUUUCUUUCUUUCUUUCUUUCUUUCUUUCUUUCUUUCUUUCUUUCUUUCUUUCUUUCUUUCUUUCUUUCUUUCUUUCUUUCUUUCAUUCAGACAGGGCAUUCCUAGCUUUGGUUUGCUGGGACUCACUGUAGAGACUAAGCUGGCUUCAAACUAUAGUGAUCCCCUGCCUCUGGCUUGACCAGUUUUUAUAAGUGUGGCUUUGAGCAGGAUGCAUCUUUUUUUUUUUUCUUUCCUUCUACUUUUUAUUUUGUUCAGUAGUUCUUCCCCAGGACCCACCCGCACCUGGAUGGCUCCAAGUAGACUGCCUUGGCAGUGGAAGACCCACAACCGAGGAGAAACAAAGGCCAGGCAGGAUUAGAAUCUGCUGCAGGCACUUCAAGAGGGGGCAGUAACCAGCACCUCCUCCGAGAAAAGCCUUGUCUGACCUCCGGAGGUGAGCCAAAAAUCACUACACAGUUGAUGGAGAUUCACCCAGCUGCAAGGCCUAGCCUCAUAAUUCCAGAAGCCUGCAGGUUAGGCCAAAGGCUAACAGACAGUAGGCAGAGCCUUUCGACAAGCCACUCUACAGGACAGGUAGGGAGAGGCACUCUCUCUAGUGUGAGAAAUGCUCCUACCAACAGAAGUGCAGAGCUUCGGAAAGGAGGUGGAGGGGGCCAGCAGAGCCAUGAGCACCCCAGCACACCCCAGGUGGCUUACCUAUCUCAAUGGAGGCUUUUCCCCGCAGGAGGAGCUUGAGGCACUCAGCAUUGUCUGUCAGGCAGCAGUAGUGCAGGGCUGUGCUGCCCUUGCCUGUCUGUUUAUCCAGGUUCCCACUGCACGGAACACAGAUGGAAAAAGAUAAAUCAGUCAUAAGCCCGAGGACGAAGAACAGCCCUGCAGACUGUGGAAAGACAGGUGGGCUAGCAGCAAACAAUUUACAGAAGUUAUCCGUGCAGUGAGUGGGCACCAGACUAGAUAGCAUGAAGACAGCCAGGGACAGAGAAGACCAAUGGUGGCUGUUUUGUUGCUGAGUUUGGGUUAGAGCAGUGAUUUGUAACCCUUUGGUGGUCAAAUGACCCCUGCACAGGUGUCACCUAACACCAUCAGAAAACACACAUAUAUUUGCAAAAUUAUAACAGUUGCAAAAUUACAGUUAUGAAGUAGCAACAAAAAAUCAUUUAUGGUCGGGGGUGACCACAACGUGAGGAACUGUAUUAAAGGGUCACACUAAGCUAGAGUCCCUCUGGAAUAAUCUUAGUACCUCUGUUCUCUUCUCUCUUGCCCUGUGGUACCAAGAGCAUCGGAUCCACCAUUCAGUCUAUACAACCGGCCCUGCCUGUCACCCUGGAGAAUAAGCAAUCUUUUCAUUUUCUUUUUAAAAUUAUUUUAUAUGUAUAGAUAUUUAUAUUUAUAUGUAUGUCUGCAUAUCAUGUAUAUAUCUGGUACCAGUGGAAACCAGAAGGCAUUAUAUUCCCUAGGAUUGGAGGAAUAGUGGGCUAUGAGCCACCAUGUGGGUACUGAGAACUGAAGCCAGGUCCUCCAGAAGAGCACCCAGUGCCCUUUACCGCUGAGCCAUCUCUCCAGCCCCCUUCAUUUUGUUUCCACCAGGGAAGAGAAUACUAUUGUUCAGUUUGGUGUCCCAAGGCUCUCUCAAGCCUGCUGGCCCUAGGACAGCCCCCUGAAAGCGGGUGAAGGGGACACUGCUGAAGGCCCAUAAAACAAGACUAGAUUACCCAAAACCUAAAGUGCGUGUGUUCCACAUACAUGAUGAAAGCAACCAUCCUCCAAGGUCACAGCACCACCAAUAAAGGACAGGGGCUUUGUAUCCACAGGCAGAUAAAUGGGAACAAUACGUGAGAGUUUAUGUGGCGGCAGAUACAAACCAGCUACUUAUCAAUGUCCAUGGAAUCAGCAUUCCACGUGAGGCCCUGGGCUGGGCUCAGAGGAGAGUCUAAUUGACUCAACCCUGAGUUCUGUGAACCUGGGCUUCACAAAGCCUUGCAGGUCUUAGGGCUGACUGUCCUGCAAGUCUCUCCUACUUUCCAGCUGUUUCUUCACUCCAUUGCCCAGGAAUGACAGGGAAGGGCAGAGGUCACAAAUGUAAACCAUCCCUCCCCUGUUGCUGUCACACCAGAACUUCCCAAUGCAUUUGUAGCAUUUAACCAGCAUCCUCUGCUCUAACACAGUCAACCCCAGCCACGACCAGGGAGUCACAGUACAGGCUGAAGAGGCUUAGCAUGUGGCUUGCAGUCGCCAGGCAGCUGUGCAAACAGAUGCAGCACACACUGAACAACUCAGAAGGCUGUUUCUAGUCAAUGAUUACAAGCGGCCUCUCAACCCAAAGGGAGUUCCCUGAAUUUUGAGUACAACUCCUGGCUUAGGACAGGGGAUAAUGCAUCUCUAUCCCCUCAUCUCUCUCUGUUAUUGAGAUCCUGUGUAGGGACUGAUAUGGGAAAGACCCACAUAUAGGACAAAUCAGAGAAUUGCUCGUCACAGAUGACGGCCCUGACACCCACAUGGUCUUCCCCAGGGCUGGGAUUGAGCAGCCAUGGUUCCCUGGAGUCUCUCCUAGACUCUGGAUCCCGCAGGUAUCAUGAAGGACUUCUGGGCCUUUUCUAGGAAAUUCCCAUAAUUCAUAUUUAAACCUGAGAUAUGAGCAUCUUGGCAACACAGCCCAAGUAGUACAGACAGUAUCUGGUCCCCUCCUCGGAAGCCCAAGAGAACCGGAACGAAAGCCUCCGCUUAUUUUUGAAACACCAACCUGUUCUGGACCAGGAAGUCUACAAUGUGAAGGGAAGUCCGGUCCACAGAUCUGACUGCAAGAUGGAGGGCUGUCUCAUCUGGCUCCUGAAAUUCAAACCAAGACAUUUGGAAUUCCAGUGGCAUCUUUCAACCCCAGGACCACCAAGGAAGUGAGGAAUGCUGGGGAUUCCAAGCCAUUUCAAUUGUGUCCCCGUCUCUACAUCACCACCAGUUUCCUUCUGCUGACAUGCUGCUCAAACACAGGUGUUUGCUUGCUGGCUGAGAGCCCUGACCCUUUCUUCUUCUAUCUGCUUCAUUUUGCAUCAUUCCCUGCAGGCACACCAUCCCAAGCCCUCCUGAGGUGAAGGUGCAGCCUCAGUUGUAGUUAACAGCCCAGGACUUAAGGGGUCAUGCAAAGGAUCUGAGGCUUGGCAUUAUGGAGAGAGCCUAUGAGAGGCCAUUGGCAAAGCCUAGUUGCAGCAGAAGACCCCAGUGCAUUGCAGAUGCCAGUGCCAUGGGAUGACCAUCAAGAACAGCAGAGGCAGAGGAGUGGACAACCUGUGCUUAGAGUGCUACAGAGGGCAGUGCUGGAGAAAUGAUGCCAGCCCUUUGGGGGAGCCCAGAAGAUCAUGUGUGGAUCCCAGACAUUGAAACAAGAAGCUGUAACAUUGAAGUUGCUUUGGAGACCCCCAAGAUGUUUGAGAUGGCGGAACCAUGGGCUAUCUGCUGAGUAAUGCUGCUAACAGAGUGGAACCAGCCCAAAAGAAAGAAGUUUCUUACAGUCAACAAAGAUGAAAAAGGAGUUGGAGAUCUGAAGACUGCGUUGACAUCAGACAUGGAGAUGCAGAGUUUGGAGUUUGCCCAGCUUCGUGAUUCAGGGAUCACAGUUAAGUGAUUGGAUGGAUCUCAGAAGAGACUUUGAACUUUGGACUUUUGACAUGGUUGAGACUGCUAUAGACUAUAGGGACUUUGAAAGUUGGACUAAAUGUACUUUUUUUUUUUUUUUUUUUUUUGGUUUUUCAAGACAGGGUUUCUC